AUGUAUAUUAUUGGCACUAAAAUAGCUUGUUUGCUUUAUCUUACAUUAUUAUUUUUUAGCCUUUUUAUUUUUUUUUUUUUUUUAUUGUUACUUCUGUUUAGGUUUAUGAAAACUAGAUUUGUUGAACCCACUUCGGAGGAUAAUAUACAAAAGAUUUUACAAAAAAUUAAAGAAGAACGAGAAGCAACAAGAAAAAAAAAGAAAGAAGAAGAAGAAAAAGAAGAAAAUAAAAAUAAAAAGUACGUAAAAAAAAGAGAUAUAACAUUACAGGAGAAGACAUUUUAUGAAGAGGCGUACGCUUUAGACAAAAUUAGUUCUCAGACAGAUUUAACAACUUCUACUAACAAUGAAAAAAUAGUAAACAAUGUUACUAAAAGUGUAGAAAAUGCUAAAUUAAAUGAAGCAUGGUCAAUUUUAAGAAUUUGCCUAUAUUCUUAUUUUGAAGAUUUAGAUAUUAAAAAAAAAGGGAAGCUAAAGCAAAACUAUUAUGUGGAAAUUUUAAAAAUGGUUAAUCACAAAAUGUGUAUUAGUUUUUACUAUUUACAAAACUUAUUAGAAAAAAAAGAAAAGACCUAUUUAGACAUAUCACCACAAGAGUACGUUUUUUUUGAGUCAGAUGAUAUAGCGUAUUCUAUUAAUGGAGAUAGUAGUGAAGAAGACAACAUUAGCGAUGAUGAUGUGGUAAAAGAAAAAAAAAAAGACAAAAAAGAAAAGGAUAGUAAUAACAAUAAUGAUUUAAUUAAUAGCAGUAGCAAUAACGAUAAAGCUGAUGAUAAAGAUGACGAUAAAGCUGACGAUAAAGCUGACGGCAAUAGCGAAAACGAUCAUGAAAUCGUAAAAGAUGAAGCCAAAUAUUUAUCUGAGUUAUUUAACAUUAAUAAUAAAGAAGUUGAUUUAAUUAAAUAUAUUAAUUUAUAUAAAAAUAAUAAUUUUAAUGGAUGUGAUAUAUUUUUUGAAAAUGUAGAUAAUAUAAAAGUUGAUUCAGAUAUAUUUAUUUUCAAUAAAAACAAUGAAUAUUAUAAAUAUAUAUUCACAAAUAACUAUUAUGAUUUUUUAUUAUAUAUAUCUUAUGCUAAUGAAGAAGAACACACUGGGUAUAUACAGUAUAAUAACUACCUACAAUAUUUGCCAAGGUAUUUAUACGAAUUAAAAAUAAAUAGAGACUAUUAUAAUAUAAUGACUAUAGACGAUUUAGUUUUAUAUAAACAAUUAAUUUAUGAAUGUUAUUCAAACGAAUUAACGUAUAUGUUCGAGAUUUUUUGUUUCCAGUUUAAACAAUUUGAUACAGGUAACAGCGGAUAUGUACAUAGAAAUGUUUUAAAAAAAACCCUUUUGCAAAAUGACCAUAUAAUAUCAAGGCAAGAAUAUAAGCUGUUACUUAAUGUAUUUUCUUUUAACGAAGACAAUUAUGUGUAUUACAAAAAUUUAAAGGAGGUCGUUUUGCGGCUACGAUUUGAAGGCAUAAAAAACAGUAUAUUUGAAAAAGAUAAAAGGUUACUACAAAAAUACUUAUGUGAAGAGCUAUUAAAGCAUAAUUUGAAAAAUCAAAAAAAAAUCCAUAUAUGUAAUUGUAAAAACGUGUUAGAUGGCUGUGACAAAUUAUAUCUAAGUAAAAAUAUUAUUCAUAUAAUAUUAUGUUCGUUAAAAUUGGAUCAAAAUUUAAACGUCGAUAUCUUAGUAUUUUUACAAAUUUCGGUUACCAUCAUAAUUAACAGUAUUAACUUAAAAUAUAUGCAAAAAAUAUACAACAUUAUAAUUAAUGAAAAAGAAAAAAAAAAAGAGUAUCAAGACAACGAUUCGAAAAGUGGGGAUCAGAAAAAUAAUGACACUAUUAGCAAGAGGAAAGAAGCGACAAACAUACCGGCAUUAGAACUGGUAGAAAGAACAUUAACAAAGCUGUUUAAUGUGUUAGAUGAAAAUAAUGAAGGUAUAUAAUUUUGUUUCCCCCACUCACCCCAAAAGGGCGCUUAUACAUAUAUAUAUAUACAUGUAUUUAUUCAUUUAGUUUUACUUCUUAUUCAUUUUUUGUUUUCCGUUUAUUCCUACCAUUUAUAAAUUCUCUCAUUCAGGCCUUCUGAAAAUAAGUGAUUUUAUUGAAACGUUGCUCGAAAUGAACCAAAAAAAAAAAAUUAUUGACAUAAAGGAAAUAUGCAAAUUAAGUAAAAAUGAACUACAAGGUUUUGUAGCAGAAAUAAGUACCAAGUCGUCAAAAAGGAAUUUCCUACAUGAACAAAUUAAGAAUAAUAGGAGAUUCGAGUUUGAUGCAGAACAAAAAAUUCAUUAUGCUUCGCAUAUACAUAAAUGGUGUUCAAAAACGUAUCAAAUAAGGUAAAAAUAGUG
rnacentral:lncRNA from 1 species